rnacentral:rRNA from 1 species
CCUGGCGGCAAUAGCGCGGUGGUCCCACCUGACCCCAUGCCGAACUCAGAAGUGAAACGCCGUAGCGCCGAUGGUAGUGUGGGGUCUCCCCAUGCGAGAGUAGGACACUGCCAGGCAU